ensembl:lncRNA
AGGGUUCUGUAGGGUACGAUAGGGUUCUAUGGGGUCCUAUGGGAUCCUAUAGGGUCCUAUGGGGUUCCGUGGGGUUCUAUGGGGUUCUGUGAGGUCCGAUAGGGCCUAUGGGGUGCUAUGGGGGUCCUAUAGGUGUCCUAAGGGCUCUUAUAGGGUUCUGUGGGGUUGUGGCGCUCCUAUGGGAUCCUAUGGGGUUCUGUGGGCUUCUAUGGGGUCCUAUGGGAUCCUAUAGGGUUCUGUGGGAUCCUAUGGGAUCCUAUGGGAUCCUAUAGGGUUCUGUGGGGUCCUAUGGGGUCCUAUGGGGUUCUGUGGGGGUCCUAUAGGGUUCUGUGGGGUUCUAUGGGGUCCUAUGGGGGUCUAUGGGGUUCUGUGGGUUCCUAUGGGGUUCUGUGGGGUCUAUGGGGUCCUAUGGGGGUCCUAUAGGGGUCAAUGGGGUUCUG